AGGCGCCUUUUUUCCGGAAGCGGAAGCAGGAGCGGGAGCAGCCGCGGACAGCAGGGAGUGAAGGGAAGGUCCGGCUGGACGGGGUAAGUUUCUCCUUUCUUGUGUAAAUGUGUGUUCCGCGGUGCGCCUUCCUCCCUCCUCAGGGUGUGGGAGUGACUUCAGGCCUAAGAUCCCAGCGCCCGGGCCCCCGCCCCUAGUAGAUCCAGAUGUUGCCGUUCCUGGUCGGGUUAUCUUUUCUUUGGUGUGUGCACUCGCUCUGAGGCUGGUCCCUGCCCUUGGCUUUUCUGCCUUCGGUCCACGUAGAGGCUGUCUUUCUUUCGCUGGGUUCUUUUUCAUAAAACCCCGCACUACCUCUGCGGGUCCCCCCCCCCCCGCGCCGGGGUAAACCCCUCUUUCAAGAGGUGGGUUCGGAGCCCCCCCCCGCGCCCCCAGACUUUCUGCCCCGCCCCUGGAGGGCAGCUCCAGCCGCCCGGCUCCCGGAGAGUCCGCGUCCUCGCCCUGGUUCUGGGAUUCGGGAACCCGCCCUCUCCUGAGACACCCUCCGUCCAGCCCCUCUGUCCUCGCGGCUCCUCAGGCCGGUCCUUCUGUCCCGCAGGCCUCCCCUGCGGAGUCAACCCUUCCCCGCACCCCGCGAAAGGGGAGGUGACCUGGGCCACCGUGUGACGCCCAGUGUUCUACGGUCCCAAAUUCCACCCCGCUGGAAAAUGUGUUUUUCCAGUAGGCGGGCAUUUUAUUCAGUCACCAUCUCGGUAAAUACGUGGGCGAUGCGGAUCAGGAGAAGCAGAGACAGAAAGCGACUGAGACAAAAAUAGAAAACUGAAAAGGAGGAAAGAAUGAGGGAAAACCAAUGGGGACUUAGAGGAUGGGUGAGGGACUUGUAAAGAGGCAGUAAAAUGGAAUAGAUUUAGCUUUGAAAGUCGCAGGUGAAUAAAAUAGAGAAGUGAGUAAAAAAGCCAGAUCUGCAGGAAUUGGAAAGCAACUCUUAAAGGGCUAGGGUUUCUUUUAACGGCCUUGAGUGGCAAGAACAAGAAAUAAGAAACUUGUCUGAAUCCCUCCUGGGACAGUGGGCAGCAGAGGCCUGUCUCUCCCACAUGGUGAGGUCUUCCCUGUGUGUGUAUGUGUGUGUGUGUGUGUGUGUGUGUGUGCGUGGGUAGGUUGAUUCUAAGCUUUAAACUGUAUCUUUUCAACUUUCAAGAUCAUCCUCUAAAGACUCACGUGGUCUGAGGAAGAAGCCAGGAAGAGGAGGAAGGCUAAAGACAAGGAGUCAGGAAUGGCUUUCUUUCAGGUAAAGUCACAUUUUCAUUUCAUUCUCAGUCUUUCCUUCUUGAAAUACCCUUCUUUAGACUCACUCAUCUUGUCUGGCCCUAAAGCAUCCUGCCUGACAACUGAUGUUCACAUUCACCUGGCCGGUCCUUCAGGGCCUCUCACCCACUUAGACCUCAUCUCCCCUUGACCCAGUGACCUGGAGCUUGUGAAGAGGCCCCCCUGGGCAUCAUCCUGGGCGGGGCUAGUGGGCGGCAGGGAUUGUUUAGGGCUCCAGCUGGAUGCACAGCCUGCUCCCUGUCAACCAGGAUCAAGAAGCUGCACAUGGAAGUCAGGUAUUAAUAUGCACAAUACCUGGUAAACGCUAGAAAUUAGGUUAAUUAGGGGAAAUUUGUUCUGACUUUACCUAAAGCAAUCGAAGGUAAGUGAUUGACUUUAAAUAUUAAUGAUGGGAAUGGAAUCAAAAGUUCAGCAGUUCCCAUUGAGGCUCAUCGGGUUCUUAACCUGCUGAGCCAUAGCCAGAACGCCUGUGUAUUGUAUACUUUGACACAGAAAUUUUUACCAUUGCAAGUUUGAGUCCAGCUUCAUUCUUUUGCGGGUAGAUCUAGUUUCUGAGUACCAUUCAUUAAUUGAGACCGACCUUUGCCCUUUUUUCCUUCCUUCCUUCCUUUCCUUCUUUCUUCCCUCCCUUCCUCCCUCCCUCCUGCCCUUCUUUCUUCCUUCCUUCCCCCCCUGACUUUUCUUUUUCUGCACAGCGUAUGUACACCACAGCACUGACAGCAGCCAGAGCCGUAACAAUGCCAGAUCCGUAAUCCUCUAGCCACCAGGGAGCUCCCUCCAAGAAUAAUUUCUGAUGUUCUAAUGUUUUCCUUUGUUUUAUGUAUCUAUGCUUAUGCCAAUUCCACCUCAUUUUGAUUACUUUUUUUUUUUUUUUUAAACCAUACCUAAGGCAUGUGGAAGUUCCCAUCUGGCACUACCAAAUCCUUAAUCAGCUGUGCACAGGAGAACUUCAACUUUGUAAUAUGUUUGGAAAUCUAAAAAUGACUACUCUAUUUUCUUUUUCAAGAAUAUCAUGGCUGGGAGUUCCCACUGUGGCUCAGUGGAUUAAGAACCCCACCAGUAUCCAUGCAAAUUCAGGUUUGAUCCCUGGCCUUGCUCAGUGAGUUAAGGAUCUGGCAUUGCCACAGGCUGCGGCAUAGGGCACAGAAUCUGGUGUAGCUGUGGCUUAGGCUGGCAACUGCAGCGCCAGUUCAGUCCCUAGCCCAGGAACUUCCAUAUGCUGCAGAUGUGGCCCUAAAAAGAAAAAAAAAAUAAUAUUAUGGCUGUUUGUGGUCCCUUGAGAUUCUUUAUGAAUUUCAGCAUAUUUUUUUAUUAGUGCAAAAAAUUUUUUUGGAAAUUUUGGCAGGGCUUCUGUUGAAUCUAUAUCACACAUGUGGUAAUAUGGUGAUUUUAAGACUAUUAAGUCGUCUUGGAGUUCCUGUUGUGGCUCAGUGGUAAUGAACCCACCUAGUAUCCAUGAGGAUGGGGGUUUGAUCCCUAGCCCCACUCAGUGGGUUGAGGAACCACGUUGCCAUGAACUGUGGUGUAGACCACAGAUAUGGCUUGGAUCCUGUGUUGCUGUGGCUGUAGCAUCUGGUGUGGCUGUGGCUGUGUCUGUGGUGUAGGCCGGUACCUGCAGCUCCGGUUCGACCCCUAGCCUGGGAACUUCCAUAUGCCACA
rnacentral:lncRNA from 1 species